rnacentral:rRNA from 1 species
AGACCCGAAACCCGGUGAUCUAGCCAUGGGCAGGUUGAAGGUUGGGUAACACUAACUGGAGGACCGAACCGACUAAUGUUGAAAAAUUAGCGGAUGACCUGUGGCUGGGGGUGAAAGGCCAAUCAAACCGGGAGAUAGCUGGUUCUCCCCGAAAGCUAUUUAGGUAGCGCCUCGUGAAUUCAUCUCCGGGGGUAGAGCACUGUUUCGGCUAGGGGGCCAUCCCGGCUUACCAACCCGAUGCAAACUGCGAAUACCGGAGAAUGUUAUCACGGGAGACACACGGCGGGUGCUAACGUCCGUCGUGAAGAGGGAAACAACCCAGACCGCCAGCUAAGGUCCCAAAGUCAUGGUUAAGUGGGAAACGAUGUGGGAAGGCCCAGACAGCCAGGAUGUUGGCUUAGAAGCAGCCAUCAUUUAAAGAAAGCGUAAUAGCUCACUGGUCGAGUCGGCCUGCGCGGAAGAUGUAACGGGGCUAAACCAUGCACCGAAGCUGCGGCAGCGACGCUGAUGCGUUGUUGGGUAGGGGAGCGUUCUGUAAGCCUGUGAAGGUGGCCUGUGAGGGUUGCUGGAGGUAUCAGAAGUGCGAAUGCUGACAUAAGUAACGAUAAAGCGGGUGAAAAGCCCGCUCGCCGGAAGACCAAGGGUUCCUGUCCAACGUUAAUCGGGGCAGGGUGAGUCGACCCCUAAGGCGAGGCCGAAAGGCGUAGUCGAUGGGAAACGGGUUAAUAUUCCCGUACUUGGUGUUACUGCGAAGGGGGGACGGAGAAGGCUAUGUUGGCCGGGCGACGGUUGACCCGGUUUAAGCGUGUAGGUGUGUGUUCCAGGUAAAUCCGGUUCACUUUAACACUGAGGCGUGAUGACGAGGCACUACGGUGCUGAAGCAACAAAUGCCCUGCUUCCAGGAAAAGCCUCUAAGCAUCAGGUAACAUCAAAUCGUACCCCAAACCGACACAGGUGGUCAGGUAGAGAAUACCAAGGCGCUUGAGAGAACUCGGGUGAAGGAACUAGGCAAAAUGGUGCCGUAACUUCGGGAGAAGGCACGCUGACACGUAGGUGAAGUGAUUUACUCAUGGAGCUGAAGUCAGUCGAAGAUACCAGCUGGCUGCAACUGUUUAUUAAAAACACAGCACUGUGCAAACACGAAAGUGGACGUAUACGGUGUGACGCCUGCCCGGUGCCGGAAGGUUAAUUGAUGGGGUCAGCGCAAGCGAAGCUCCUGAUCGAAGCCCCGGUAAACGGCGGCCGUAACUAUAACGGUCCUAAGGUAGCGAAAUUCCUUGUCGGGUAAGUUCCGACCUGCACGAAUGGCGUAAUGAUGGCCAGGCUGUCUCCACCCGAGACUCAGUGAAAUUGAACUCGCUGUGAAGAUGCAGUGUACCCGCGGCAAGACGGAAAGACCCCGUGAACCUUUACUAUAGCUUGACACUGAACAUUGAGCCUUGAUGUGUAGGAUAGGUGGGAGGCUUU